AAGUCUUUCAUGGAGAAGCUAAUGUUUGCCUUUGUUGCCACCAAUCUUUAGUCACCGCUCAGUGGUUUGCUAAAGCUAUCGGAUGGAGCAUUAAGUCACCACCGCUCAGUGGGUCUCCGGCGCCAACUUAUAUCAUCCGCCGGCCGAGAGAAUUGGAGUAUCGAAAGCUGAUGCCGGAAGAGGAAUCGAAACAUCGAGCAGUAGGCGUUUCAGAAUCCAACACCUUUUUGCUUCAUCCACAUCAGUAAAUCCAUCCACCUUUGGUCUCCGGCGCCAACUUAUAUCAUCUGCCGGCCGAGAGAAUUGGAGUAUCGAAAGCUGAUGCCGGAAGAGGAAUCGAAACAUUUAGCAGCAGGCGUUUCAGAAUCCAACACUUCUUUGCUUCAUCGAUCGAUCUCACCCCUCUCUGCCCUAAAAACGCACGAGAGCGAGGCUAAUGCCCGGUGAGGGAGAAGGGGAGGCGAGCGAUCGGACGCUUGGAUGGCAAGGGAGAGUAGAGGAUGAAUGGCGGAGGAUCAAGGAGCACGCCGAGACGUACCCGUACGUGUGGGGUUCUUACAUCCUAGUCUACGGCAGCCUCAGCGCCUACCUCGCCUACCGAUGGCGGAAGCUACGGCGGACGGAGGACCGCGUCCGAAACCUCCGAGAACGCCUCCGAACGCUCGUCGAGGCUGAGGGUUCGGCGGCGGCUUCAGGCACCGCCGGAUCGGCCGCCCCUUCGAUGCCGAACAAGUCGCGUGGGCCUUCUUAAGGAUUUUGUGUCCUCGAAAUCGGUUAGUAUUGAUCUGAACCGCUCCUUUGAGUUUUUAUUGGGUCUUGUUAUGUGAUAUUCUGGAAUUUAGGGUUUUAGCUGCUUAGCAUUUUGGGCCGAAGAAUCCUCAGUUCUGCUACAUUACGCAGUAAAAGGGAUCAAAAUUGCAACUUCUGUAAUUUUCUCUUGCCAUCGCAACAACUUUUUUACUACUGCAUCUCUUAUAUUGAACUAAAGGAGGCUCUUAUUUGAUGAACUUCCGUGAACAGGCUUUGUAAUGCUGUGGUUAGACGGUUCUGUUGGGGAACGUAUAGUGUGAGACCGUAAUGUGCCCUUCCUAUCAGUCUAAUCCAUAUUUUUGUUAGUGAUUUUUAA